rnacentral:rRNA from 1 species
GAUGAACGCUGGCGGCGUGCCUAAUACAUGCAAGUCGAGCGAACAGACGAGGAGCUUGCUCCUCUGACGUUAGCGGCGGACGGGUGAGUAACACGUGGAUAACCUACCUAUAAGACUGGGAUAACUUCGGGAAACCGGAGCUAAUACCGGAUAAUAUAUUGAACCGCAUGGUUCAAUAGUGAAAGACGGUUUUGCUGUCACUUAUAGAUGGAUCCGCGCCGCAUUAGCUAGUUGGUAAGGUAACGGCUUACCAAGGCGACGAUGCGUAGCCGACCUGAGAGGGUGAUCGGCCACACUGGAACUGAGACACGGUCCAGACUCCUACGGGGGGCAGCAGUAGGGAAUCUUCCGCAAUGGGCGAAAGCCUGACGGAGCAACGCCGCGUGAGUGAUGAAGGUCUUCGGAUCGUAAAACUCUGUUAUUAGGGAAGAACAAAUGUGUAAGUAACUAUGCACGUCUGGACGGUACCUAAUCAGAAAGCCACGGCGAACUACGU